GAAAUGCGAUAAGUAAUGCGAAUUGCAGAAUUUCCGUGAGUCAUCGAAUCUUUGAACGCACAUUGCGCCCAUUGGUAUUCCGAUGGGCAUGCCUGUUCGAGCGUCAUUAUCCUCCCUCAAACCCCGGGUUUGGUGUUGGACCGCUGUGAGGUUCCGGCCUCACUGGUCCCAAAGACAAUGACGGCGUCCGUGGGACCCCUCUGCGCAACGAGCUUUCACGAGCACGCGCAAAAAGGACCCCGCGGGCCGGUCUCUCCUUUUUUACUUCUAAGGUUGACCUCGGAUCAGGUAGGAAUACCCGCUGAACUUAA
rnacentral:misc_RNA from 1 species